rnacentral:sRNA from 1 species
CUCGUAGGGAGAAACUUUGCCCUUUUACACAACAGGGUUGAUCAGCGAGACAACAAUGGCUGGGAGGGGGCAUCGAUAUUACUCACGCUUCAGAGUACAUUUCCGCGUCUGUCCGCUAUUCCGUCCCGGACGGAAGGCAGGAAGGAUGAAGGCGUCAACUCGCCGCCUCACCAACAGCGUACUGUAAAAAAGUCUCACCCUGAAAACGCAAAUACCGGCGAACACGGCACUAGUAAACACCAGUGCAUCCCAUAUGAACCAGAGGAUGAACCAAGCUAAAGAUCGUUUUUUUUCAAAGCGGUCAGUAACAAGAAAAUCAAUCUAAUGAUAUCCUCCCUCUUCUCUCUCCUUCAAGUCAUUGGCAUGUAUGCCGAGCUAUCUUGAAAGAGAUAAAAAGGAUAAAAAAGUGGGCAAGGUCGUUGGGUAAGACUUACAGCUGGUAGGCCACCCUAGUAAUUCGGAAAAUUGGGCACAAUCAGAUGUAUUACGCUUAUCGAACAAUCGUUCAUCGACGUAAUCCCAGACUACGUAAAAUAGAUUCAUCAUGCCGACGAAUAUCACUGGGAGGGUUGGUGACCAGGAUGGAGGCGAUAGGAGAAGCGUCAAAGGGUGCGGAUGGUCAGUUUCAGAGCGUGUCCUACAAACCUAGGUCAGUGUCCCCUUUCACAAAAAGGAAAAAAGGCAAUGGCAGAUGAAUGAAACAAGCAGUGAUAAGAGACUGGAUGAGGAGACUGGGACUUACAUUUCCGUGAUCGCCAAACCAUAGUCCAAUCAAGAUGACUUCACAAGCGAUGAUACUUGCAAAUGCACUUUUAACAAGAGGAAAAUGAAUUCUCCCAGUCAGUCUGUCCCCCGAAAGUGUGACAGGGGGGAGAGGGGUAAGGGAACGGAGAAAGGAGAAAGGAGGGCGAGGGGAACGGGGACAAAGACUUACAUCCAAUGAUCUGCUCUGAGGACGGGAACGAGCAUGGCAAUAUGUAUGACCAACGCACAAGCUUUGGAAGCGACGAUAUCGACUAUCCAGCAAAACCAGUAUUAGACUGUGUUUUCUGAAAACCAUCUCUCACCGACUUACAUCCACAAAACUAAUUUCAUCCCGGCCCCAUCCAAGAUCGCAUCAGCCACUCACUUGAUUUCUUCCCCAAUACCUUUCCUUCCUUUUUCAAAACUCACCACGAACAAGAACCCAACCACCGAUGACCCGAAAUACCCCGCACCCAACGUCAUCACCGCCGACGCACUCCAAAACGCUUGUGCAAACGUCGGCAUUGCGUACGGAUCCCUUGGUAUCCUCGGUGUCUGCCGCAUAAGGCCCAUGAUAUGGGUGGCACCCCCGUCGUUGGGGUCGAUACAGAUACUGACGACUUGGCCGCCGCAGAUGAGGCCGACGGCGAGGUGGAAGAGUUCGUGGAUCCCGACUGUAAGGAGCUGUUCCCAUUUAGGGGUGGGGAAUCGGAUGAGUUUUAAAGUUGAGAAGAAAAGAGGAGAUAAUUUACCUUUAGACCGGAAAUGAAAUCGCGCAAGAUGGGUAGAUUCCAUGCUAUUAAUAUAGCCAAGAACAUCACACAUGCGCCUAUGACCGUGUUCAUCUCUGUCUCCGCCAAGCAGUCAUUAGCUGCAUCCGCUUGUGUAUUCCUUUUUUUCCUUCUUUGAAACCUCUUUGCCCCAUCUCCCUGAUCAAGUCACUUUGCGGGGAUGGAAUCGCUCAUUACUUACGGAAAGAGUUGGGGACCGUGUUUGCCCUUGUAGCAAAAAUAUGCCAAACGGUCUCGGUGGAGUUUGAUAUCGGUGUGGGGAGACCGUUGUGUGGGAGAGCGAGCAGAGGCAUUGUGGCUGUGGCGUGGUCGUGAAAUUGCAGUGGAAAGAAAGUCAGUACGGACUGUAUCAGUAUACUGCAGCAAGUACAUCUAUGGCAAGGAAAUGUGCAUGGCUGUAUGGGCA